GCCGAUGUGGCGGAAUUGGUAGACGCGCUAGCUUGAGGGGCUAGUGAGGGAAACCUCGUGCCGGUUCGAGUCCGGCCAUCGGCACCA
rnacentral:tRNA from 1 species